GUGGGUACGUGAGAGCCGGCAAUAAAAAUGGUGGAAUAGAUUCCACAUUUUGCCGCCAUAUUCUUACAUCCAAAACUUUUCUGUAUGUAAUUCGAGUGGCAUGAGCGUGCGUGUUAUUAAUAUUUUCAAUUUGUUUUUCGACGUAAUAUUUAACCGGUCUUAACAAAAUAUUAACAAAACUUUUUUAACGCUGUGUACCUAUGCAUUUAAUAAUUGCUAGCAUAUUCCCUUCAUAUAAAUCUCAUCAUUUUCGUUGGUAUAAAGUGUAUGCACUACGAAUAACGCUGUGAUUAUUAAGACGAAAGUGUUUUCUCUUUUUGGAAAAAGAAGUGUUAAAAAGUCAAGAUGUUACAGUCAGAUAAACAAUAAAAAAAAACCAAAGUUAAAAGUCAAUGGUGUCAGCAUUGUAAAAAAGCUUAACCAAACAAAAUUGAUUAUUAAAUAAUACAGUGAUUUUUUACCUAUGUAUAAGUAUAAGUAUUACUCGGAUUAUUUGAAAAAAUAAACAACUGCUGCAAACAUAUUGAUACAACUUAGCAAAACAAAUCUGAAAUAGCAAAUGUUAAUAGUAAAGGCACUUGUUAUUUCAGGCUUACUAUGCGGGAAAUAUGUCUUGAAAUUAGUAAUUGGAGGAAAUACAUAAUUUCUUUGUAUUUUUAUUGCCACUUCUGUGUGUUCCCUUAAUGAAGUUCCGACGUCCAAAACUGCAAUCUUGACAACAGUUCUAUGAAUUACACCGGAAACUGGUUGGCAAAUUUUUGGGUCAGACGAAAACGUUUUCUUAAAUUGCAGCUAUCGGUAGAAAUUUGCUUAUAUCUAUCGGAUGACCCAGGUAUCAGAUGAUUUGGAGUAAGCGCUUCAUCGUCGCAGCUGUCCAAGGAUACAUAUGUAAGUGGCAGCGCAUUUAUAAUGAAUCCCACUUGAUGCAGGGCGCUUUAUAGGCUCUCAUGGCUACAACUCGCGGACGGAAGUAUCUCAUAAAGUACGAUCUUAACCGACCUUAUUAGUCGCUCCCACACUCCUCCCAUUUGAGGUGUCCUUGGUGGGUUGAAUUUCCAUUUUAUUUGAUCAAAGGAAGAAAAUUAAUAUUCCUUGAACAAAUUAUCUUAUCCGACGCCUUAAAGUUAGUGCCGUUGUCGGAAAAAAUUUAUUUCGGGUAACCGCGUCAUGAAACGAAGUUUGUUAUUGCUAUUAUACACGAACUUGUAUCCAUACUAUGCGCAAUCCCUAUGUGCACUGCUCGAAGAAUCAGGCACGUCCCAUCUUUUCUCACGUCUUCCAACAAUAACCAUUAUAUAAUAACCGAAAUAGUCUAUUCCGACAUACGUGAACUGUUUUUCAAAAGCGGCAAGCCUUAGUGGGGCCAUUUGUAGUGCUUGUGGCGCUAGUGGUGCUACAACGGCGUUUUUUUUUUUUUUUACAUUUUUGGCAACUUUGACGAACUUUGCGGUAUAAAACUAUAAGCCGACCGCUGUGGUAUUGUGCACGAAAUAGAUUAAUUAUUGUCUCGUGCAUCUGAUGAUAAAAUCGUUCAUGAGUCCAGCGCACUAUUAAAAAGGUAAUGUAAUGCUUGUUGGGCAAAACUAUGAUAUCUUCGUGACUAUUUAAAAACUCAGCACGGCCCUUGCUCCUGAUAAUGUCAUCUUUGUCUAAAUAAACCUUUGUCGUCAUAAAUUUGCUGGACUUUUCGAUAGGCUUACCGAGUUUUAAUAAGUUUAUUUCAGUAUCUAUUUUCGAGUCCUGAGGUUUUUGGCUUGUUACUUGCUAUGAACGGACGCAAUCGGUCGAUUUAUAGAAAUAAAUUGCUGCAGCUCGGUAAAGGCGUUUCCAAUCGUAAAAGUAUUCAAUAUGUAGUAUCGGAUAUGUCAUUGCCUUUUUUGCAGCUUGUAAAACAUAUUACUUCGUUUCUGCUGCAUCGAUUUCAUCUUAUUUGAGCCAAUCAAAUUUCGGCCAUUCGUUUGAGUUUAACGUCAAAAACUCUUGUCCGUUGAACCACGGUUAAUAGUUACACUUUUUGUGAACUUUCCUACCUAAGUCCGCAAGAUUAAGGUUCGAGGGCACACAUUGUCAUUGCUCUAUGUUCGAUGCCUCCAGAAUUUCUCCCACUCGAUGCAUUACAUAUGGAUUGGAUGAAAGUUUCUCGGGUCCAUGCGAAUGCAUCGCAAGACUGUUUGGAGUCAGACCACCACAAUCUCGAAGUUAUGGCAAUACGAUGCACGUUACUCACCUUGCUAGCUAUCCGAGCACCAUUCACCGCAGCUUGCAACUCUAACCUGAGAAUUGUUCCUAGUUUGAGUGGCGCAACUUUUGAUUUUGCAGCCACUAGAGACACUGUGAAGUCGUUUAAGUUUUUCACUCGUAAAUAGUAAACGGCUGCGUAGCCACUCGCUCCAGCUUCGACAAAGGUAUGAAGUUGGACUUCACUCGCAUCUCUAAACAUAAUACAUUUCUAUUGGCACCAUUUUUAAUAAAGGUUGCAUUUCAACGGCUCAUCCCAAAUAAUACCCGCGCCCCAUACGUCCUGUAAUAUAAUAUUUAAACCGAUGGUAAAGCAACAAUGGAUCGAAUAUGGCCAUUAGUACUUGAAGAAGCUCUCUCUUAGUCGGUAUAAAGGGUUAAUUGAUCAUGUCACGACGGAGUCUUGUAAACCGCCAAAUAUAUGUGAAACUGUCACAUGUGAGAUACCAAAAUAUUCCAAGCACUUUCGUUGUAGAGCCCCAUUAUUUAUAAACUUGAACCGGUGGACUAUUUUCUUCGAACUGUUCUACAAGGGUCAUUGAAUUUGAUGACCAACCACGAAUGUUGAAUCCAGCGUUUUAGUGAAUUUUAUCGAACUUGUCGAGCCAAAGCCAAAUCGGAUUCUUCAUUGUCAGUGUUGUCAAUGUAAUCAUCUACAUAAUUAUAUUUCUUUAUUGCUUCCUCUGCGCUAGGAAAUUCAAGGAUAAAAUGCGCUAUACAUGGGGCGCAGUUUAAACCGAAUGUUAUUGCCUUCAUAACAUAAACACUCGGUUGCUGACUGCCUUCAUCAUACCACAGAAUAUCUGGACAUGCAUGUCUGUUUCUCGGACGUUAAUUUGGUGGAACAUCUCCGCUAUAUCACCGCAUAUCGCAACUCUGCCGACUCUAAAACAUAAAAAAAUCUCAAGGACAGAAUUCAGCAAGUCUGUACCACUUAACAAAAAGUCGUUCAGUCAAACUCCAUUCACUUUCCCGGCUACAUCCCACACCAUGCGUACUUUUCUAGGUUUGCUUGGAUUGUGCACUAAAAAUGGGUGUACCUUGCGUAUCCUUUGGCAAGCAAAUUAUCGAUUUGUUCUUGUAUGGUAGCUUUAAGAUUGGGCUUUUUGUUAAAUUUUCUUCGUAAGCACUUCAAUCGUUGGUGCGCGUAAGAAUAGCUAUCUAGUAGGCCGAUUCCAAAGCGAUUUUCAAUUUUUCGAUAUGUGUUAUUUAUAAUACCUACAGCCAUUGUGUUAUAUUUUGACAUAAUCGACUCU